ensembl:snoRNA small nucleolar RNA SNORA8
AGCACUGUGUGGUAUCUGCAGCCAGCUGUGUCGUCAGCUGGUUUGUUCAAAAGCCAGUGCGAGACAAACUCAACGUCUGGCAUCGUUGGUCUCUGAGCUGAUCGUGUUCGGAGUCCUGGUAUUUUUGUUGAAACACUC